rnacentral:lncRNA from 13 species
UUAUCAAAUUAAAAAUUUUUGCUUCUAAUUUUUUGCCUUUAAGAAAGUGGAAAACAACCCAUCACGCCCCCCCGGCUGUAUUAUAUAGCCAUCUACUGCUUAUAACACAAACUCCAGUCCUCCUGCCAUGACCUCCCAGUCCUGAAGAGGACUCUGCCAACCUCUCCAGCUCCAUCUCAUCCUUUCUGUUUCUGUUUCUUGCUCCACUAGCUCAGCCACUUGAAUCUCCUUUGCCAAGGAGUGUCCUCUUUGGAACCCAAUACCAGCUCUUUCUUCUGCCUGGAAUCUUCUCUCAGCUUUUUCAAGCAACAUGGACAAAGCUGGAGGCUAUUACCCUAAGAUAACUAACGCAGGAACAGAAAACCAAAUACUGCAUGUCCUUGCUUCUAAGUAGGAGCUAACCACUGAGUACAUGUAGACACGAAGAGGGGAACAGUAGAUAUUGUGGCUUACCUGAAGGUGGAAGAUGGGAGGAAGGUAAGGAUCAAGAAAACUACCUAUUACGUUCUAUGUUUAAUGUCUGAAAAAUGAAAUAAUAUGUAUAGCAAACUCCAGUGACAUGUAAAUUACCCAUGUAACAAACCUGUACAUGUUCCCUCUGAAUCUAAAAGUUGGAAGAAUAAAAAGACUG